ACAGACAGCAGCAGGACACAGCCUGCACACCAAGCUCGGGAGGAGCUGGGCAGACUCCGUUUAUACAGGAGUGAAGAAGAAAUCAAAAUAUUCUCAGAUGAAGAAAAGCAGAGAAUUUGUCAUCAGGAGACCUGCCCUAAAAGAAUGGCCCUAAUGGAAGUUCCUAAAAAAAGAGAAGACACUGAAAACAAAAAACAAAAAAAAAAACUUGAAGUAUUAUAAAAGUAUCAUAAAGAAAGAGGAGCAUAGUAAGCAAAAAUCUACUUGCCUUCAAAAGAAGGAGGAAGAGUAGGAGGAGGAAGAGCUGCAAGAGGUGCUGUGUCACCUCUGAAAGCACCACCCUGGAGGCCCCGUGAUUUAUAAGGACAGUAGUUAAUAGUUUCUGUCAUCAGAGAGGAAAGCAGAGGGAGAUUUUACACAGAGAAGAGGUGAUGUUAAGAUGGAGUAGAGAGAUAUUUGGAGAUCCUGGCCUUAAGGACUGGAGGGAUGCAACCAGAAGCCAAGGAAUACCAGUAUCCACUAGAAGCUGGAAGAGACAAGGAAAUUAUUCCUAGGUCCCCUAGGAACUCCAGGAUGAGUGCAGCAUUGUUGACACCUUGAUUUUGACCCAGGAUACUGAUUUCAGACUCUGGGCUCCAGAAAUGUAACAGAAUAAAUUUCUAAUGUUUUCAGUCA
rnacentral:lncRNA from 1 species